rfam:Dipodomys ordii contig_25002, whole genome shotgun sequence.
GGGCAAGUAGCUCAGUGGUAGAGCGCUUGUCUCACAUGCACGAGGCCCUGGGUUCGAUUCCUCAGCACCA